rnacentral:rRNA from 1 species
GGAGUGCGGCGUGCUAAUACAUGCAAGUCGAGCGAAUGGAUUAAGAGCUUGCUCUUAUGAAGUUAGCGCCCCCUCAAGAGAGUAACACGUGGGUAACCUGCCCAUAAGACUGGGAUAACUCCGGGAAACCGGGGCUAAUACCGGAUAACAUUUUGAACCGCAUGGUUCGAAAUUGAAAGGCGGCUUCGGCUGUCACUUAUGGAUGGACCCGCGUCGCAUUAGCUAGUUGGUGAGGUAACGGCUCACCAAGGCAACGAUGCGUAGCCGACCUGAGAGGGUGAUCGGCCACACUGGGACUGAGACACGGCCCAGACUCCUACGGGAGGCAGCAGUAGGGAAUCUUCCGCAAUGGACGAAAGUCUGACGGAGCAACGCCGCGUGAGUGAUGAAGGCUUUCGGGUCGUAAAACUCUGUUGUUAGGGAAGAACAAGUGCUAGUUGAAUAAGCUGGCACCUUGACGGUACCUAACCAGAAAGCCACGGCUAACUACGUGCCAGCAGCCGCGGUAAUACGUAGGUGGCAAGCGUUAUCCGGAAUUAUUGGGCGUAAAGCGCGCGCAGGUGGUUUCUUAAGUCUGAUGUGAAAGCCCACGGCUCAACCGUGGAGGGUCAUUGGAAACUGGGAGACUUGAGUGCAGAAGAGGAAAGUGGAAUUCCAUGUGUAGCGGUGAAAUGCGUAGAGAUAUGGAGGAACACCAGUGGCGAAGGCGACUUUCUGGUCUGUAACUGACACUGAGGCGCGAAAGCGGGCGG